GUCCUUUUGGCUCAGUGGACAGAGCGUCAGCCUGUGGACUGAAGGGUCCUGGGUUCGAUUCCGGUCAAGGGCA
rfam:Myotis lucifugus cont2.4688, whole genome shotgun sequence.